GACGUAGGGCGCGAGCGUUGUCCGGAUUUAUUGGGCGUAAAGAGCUCGUAGGCGGCUUGUCGCGUCGAAUGUGAAAUCUCAGGGCUCAACUCUGACAUUGCAUUCGAUACGGGCAGGCUCGAGUUCGGUAGGGGAGACUGGAAUUCCUGGUGUAGCGGUGAAAUGCGCAGAUAUCAGGAGGAACACCGGUGGCGAAGGCGGGUCUCUGGGCCGAUACUGACGCUGAGGAGCGAAAGCGUGGGGAGCGAACAGGAUAG
rnacentral:rRNA from 1 species